rnacentral:lncRNA from 1 species
CUCUGAGUCCCCACACAUCAUACGGCUCUUCCCCUGCACGGCUCCCUGAGGCUCUGGGGCCUGGGACUCAUCCUCCCAGAGCACACCUGCCCCCCUCAACAGGGUCCCUGCAGAGUGUCCCCUGGUCUCCCCGUUUACCUCUAAAUGUAUCCCAUCAGGUCUCUGUCCUUAGGACAUCACUCAUUUUAGAAACAAGUCCAUUUAAAAUUGUGUUUCCUUUGUAUCUUUGAAGCCCACCCUGGAUUCUCAGCACCUGCUUCCCUUCCAUCUCCUUUCCCCUUCUCCACCCCCCCCAUUAUAUUUUUUAUUGAAGGCCGAGCUGAGCCAUUGCAGGAUCAUGGGCCCAUUACGCCCCUAACAAUUCCAUUUGCACUGUAUUGUUUGUCUCAUUGCUUGGAAAUUCAGGUGAUUCAUCAUGCCUGAAGAAGCACCUGAUCCCAGCUGCCCCAGGAGCCUGGUCACUAUGUGACAGGAAUGCCAUAGGCGCUGAGGCGGGGGGCGCGGGGGCACGCGGCUUCUCAAGUGUUGAUGAGUUCCAUUCUGUGACGCUGCCCCCGCUCUGUCCACAGCCCCCUGAGCCCAGGAGAUGGGAAGGAGCUGCUGGUGAGCGUCGCGCGUCUCCUGGAGGUGCCGAUGAGCGUCUUCGCAGACAUCACUGUUCUGGGCCCAGCGGUGACCUUCAGGGUGAGCGCCAGCAUCUGGAACCUGACGACAGCAGACGUGGUGCAGGCCACAGGCAUGAUAGGAACGGUGUCUGCACGUGGCAGCGGCUUAGGCACGCCAGCUGUCAUCAUCAGCAUGGUGGCCAGUAGACGAGCUUCUGAUUCACACUGGACCCCAGAGACGGAGAGGGGCCACCCCACCACGUGCAGAGCGAGACGGAGUGGUUUCUAUCCCCGAGGCUCAAGAUGCAUCAAUAGGAAGAUUUCACUGCACUGACUCCGACACCUGCUCCCGCCCCCUCCCCUGGACAAGUGGCUGUGGUGCCAAGUACCCAUGCAUCCCCAUCUCUCCUCUUCCAUCAACCCAGGCCAGGAGCUGGGAUACUGCAGGAGGCAUUACCCAGGUUGCUGGGACCUUUACUGCCAAAAAGUGAAAAAUAGGAAAUAAGAAUUUGAACAUCUUUCCAAUUUAUGUUUUUUUAAUAAAAACCUUAAUUCUCCAGCCGUGUGGAGCCUCGUGGCAUGGGGACUAGCUUAGCUUUACUCACUCGUGGCAUCUUUGCCAGAAACAUAUGCACCCUUGCUGCACAUGAAGUGACUGGUUUCUAGAAAGCCCGAGUCAUGUCCGGGGUCUCCAGUUGUGUGUCAGCCAUUGGAGGGUUUAGCCUGAGACCCCGGUCGCUUUGGGGCUGAUACCCGUGUGUGUGUUCACCCCUGGUGGAACCACGGACCUCGCUUUGUUCUUCAAAUAGGGACAUUUACUGAAAAACCCUCCAAUGAUCAUCCAGCUGGAUCUCAGUCAUGUCCUAGGAGGUCAAUGGGGUUUCACUCAGCGUCUCUGGCUACCCUCCACACCUGCCAUCUUCUCAGCUAGCAUGCUUCUUGGAGUGGCUUCCAGGUGGUCCUCGUGAGAAGGCCCAGUCCUCAUGAGAAGGCCCAGUCCUCGUGUCUUGUCAUGGUCAGGCUGGACAUUGGCAACCUGUGUGCAGAAGAGGACGUCAUCUGUGCCGCAGUGAGGCUGGUGAUCAGGGACACGAGCAGCCUGGGCGCAUGGCUGAGGGAGCCCCUGUGCUUGUCCCAGAGUGGCCCUGGGUCCCUGUGGAAGCACAGCCUCCUGCCCCAUUGCAGCCUGAUCCACGUGUUCCUGUGGAAUAUGGGGUGCGGGGCCUUCUCACAGGGACUGGAGUGCCCUGCCCCUCCUGCCGUGGCUGCCCCAUCCGCGCCCAGGGUGCAAAUAAUGUAGAACUGGCUCCUGAAUGUUCCCUCUGUAGUAGGAACCAGGACACGUGUCAGAUGCUGCUGUUUUUACUGUCUGUGGAGGUGAGGCCUCUGAAGGGCGAGGGAGCAGGACUCUGACGGAUGGAGCCUUG